rnacentral:lncRNA from 1 species
AAAUUUACAUAUAAUCAUUAAACUUCAACCAUAUGAACUUACCUGGGUCGAUUUGUAAAAUUUGUGAAAGUUCAAGGACUAAUCAGCUACUUUUUCUUUUCCUCGACUUGCUUCGGGUUCUCGAUCUAUCAUUGUAAAAUCAUUCACUUAUCAGUAUUGACUUCAUCUUCAACCUGCUUAUAAGUAAUAUUAUCUAUAAUUUAAUUGUUUACUUAUGUAUAUUCCAAUGUUGUCCAUAAGUGCCAUAGUCACUAAAUUAUUUUUAUCUUUAGCUACAGAACUCCAAAUUAGGAUCCGAUAAUUUUUCUUGAAACUAGACUCAUAUAUCUUCUUAUCAUAAAAUUUUUAGAAUUUUUGGUUUAUCCAAUAAGUACAUUUUAUUCUUUAAAGUCACCCAUGUUCUGCUGUCUGACAAUUCCGACCCUUCUUCACUAAAAAUUAAUUAUCUCUUCGUACAGAAUUUGGAUGAUGUCCAUAUUUGUUUCUAUUGAAAAUAUACUUAUUAAGGAUUUUAAAAAUAUAAAUUUAAGCUCCUAAUUAUUUUUCUCCAAUUUUUUAUGAUUUUCCAAAGUCAGAAUAGGGGAACCCGAAAUCAUUCUGACAUUGUCUCACAAAAUCUAUUAUAUCUCAUGAUCUACAAUUCCGUUGCUUACACCGUUUUUUCUAUGAAAAACUAGACUCAAUAAGCUUUAAUUUCAUAUUUUUUUAAUCUUCUAAUUCGAUUUAUAAAAUUUAUGGUGAUUUUUAAAAGUUAGACUACUGCAGCUGUCCAAAACUGUUUUAGCGCAAAUGUUGAUUUCAGUUUUUGCCCCAAAUUUCACAGUUCAUACAAUUCAGUCCUUGCUCAAUUAAUCCCUCAAUGAAGCUAAUUUUUCCCAAUUAAUGCUUUACCUAGACAUUAUAAGUUAUUUCACAAUUAUUUAAAUUCAUAAUUUCCACAUAAAACCCUAACUUCAAACUCUUUCACCAUUAGGUCCCAAACAUUCACUUUCUAUUCAAUUCUUUCAAUAAAAUCAGCAUAUAAACAAUUUAAAACUCUAAUUCCAUGCUAAAUCAUCAUAUACUUCCAACACAUAUUCAUAACAACUUCCAAUUUCUUUUAUAGAAUCAAAAACUAAUGAAUUCAACAAGUGGACCUAGUUGUAAAAGUCAUAAAAACACAAAAAUUUCAAGAAAUAAUCAAGAAUUGAACUUACUUGCAGUAAAAAUAUGAAAAAUAGCUUAAUAAAACCCUUCUAUGGUGUUUUUGCUGAUGAUAAUGCAGAAAAAUAAUGAGAAUUCUAGAUAAUUUCACUUUAGUCCUAGUUUAUUAAGUAAAUUUUGCAAUAUUCCAAUUUUACCCUUAAUUCAUCAAUUUUCCUGCUGAUUUCAUGCACCUUGCCGUCCAGCCCAAAUAGACCUUGGGUCUAUUUGCCUUUUAAACCCUCUUUCUUUUAUCAUUUAAGCUAUUUAAUCAUUUCUCAUAAUUUUACAUUUGUUACAAUUUAAUCCUUUUUAUUCAAUUAACUAUCGAAACAUUAAAAUUUCUUGACGGAACUUUAAUACUAACUUAUUAACACUCCAUAAAUAUUUAUAAAAAUAUUUAUGGCUCGUUUUAAAAAUUUUCAAACUCACGAUAUCUGUUUUCGAUUCUAAUUUAAUUUUUUUUAAUUUUUAUUUCUAGUACACUAUUUGCUAUUUCAAAAAUUUUCCUAACUUCACACUUAACUUAUAUUCACUAAAUUAUUAAUAUUUUCUACUUAUUUUUCAAAUUUAGUGAUCUCGAAUCACUGUUCCGACACCACUGAAAAUUUAGGCUAUUACAAUUCUCCCCCUCUUAAGAAAUUUCGUCCUCGAAAUUUGUUACCUGAAAAUAGGUUCGGAUAUUGUGAUUUCAUUGAUUCCUCUGUUUCCCAGGUUGCCUCCUCCACACCAUGUCGAUGCCACAACAUUUUUACUAACAGUACCCGUUUGUUCCUUAACUCUUUAAUUUCCCAAGCUAGAAUUUUCACCGGUUCUUCUGAAUAAGUCAUGUCGGGUUGGAGCUCUAUUUCUGUAUGAGGAAUUACAUGUGAUGGAUUUGAUCUGUACCGUCUCAACAUAGACACAUGAAACACGUUAUGAAUCUUUUCAAGCUCCGGGGGCAAAGCCAAUCUAUAAGCUACCGGACCGAUUCUUUUAAUGAUUUCAUACGGCCCGAUAAAUCGUGGGCUAAGUUUUCCUUUUCUACUGAACCGCAAAACUUUCUUCCACGGUGACACUUUCAAGAAUACACGAUCACCCAAAUUAAACUCUAUAUCUCUUCUCUUUAAAUCUGCAUAUGAAUUUUGCCGAUCGAAGGCAGCUUUUAAACAAUCUCGAAUAAUACGAACUUUUUCUUCGGUUUCCCGAAUCAAGUCCACUCCCAUUAGUUUUCUUUCACUUAAUUCAGACCAAUAUAAUGGAGUUCUACACUUUCUUCCAUACAGAGCUUCAAAUAGUGCCAUUUUAAUACUAGUUUGAUAACUAUUAUUAUAAGCAAAUUCGAAUAAAGGUAAAUACCUUUCCCAGCUGCCGCCAAACUCAAGUACACAACACCUUAACAUAUCUUCUAAAAUCUGAAUCACUCGCUCUAACUGCCCGUCUGACUGAGGAUGAAAAGCUGUGCUGAAAUUUAAUUUAGUGCCCAAAGCCUCUUGUAAUUUACUCCAAAAUCUCGAAGUAAAUCUCGGAUCCCGAUCCGAAAUAAUAGAUACUGGAACUCCAUGUAAUCUCACAAUCUCAGAAAUAUACAAUUCCGCUAACUUCUCCAAUGAAAAAUUUGAUCUGACUGGAAUAAAAUGUGCCGACUUUGUCAAUCUAUCAACGAUAACCCAAAUUGAAUCUUUCUUUUUCGGAGUCACAGGCAAUCCUGAUACAAAAUCCAUCGUAAUGUGUUCCCACUUCCAUUCAAGAAUCAUAAUAGGUUGUAAUAAACCCGUUGGUACUUGAUGCUCUGCUUUCACUUGUUGACAGAUUAGACAUUUGUAACAAAUUCACAAAUCUCUCGUUUCAUACCAGGCCACCAGUACUUUUUUUUUUAAAUCGCAAUACAUUUUUGUACUACCCGGAUGAAUAGAAUACUUGCUAUUAUGUAGGGGUGUUCAUUCGGUUAACCGACCGGUUAACCGACCCGAAAUUACUAUAACCGAAUUAACCGACCUUCCAAAAAUUUUAACCGUUAAUCGAACCGAUUUUUUAAAAAAAAAAUUAACCGAACCGAAAUUUUUUCGGUUGAUAAGGUCGGUUAACCGAAUUAACCGAAAAUUAUGUAUUUUUUUAUUUUUGGUUAAAAAUUACCCGAAUUACCCGAAUUAACCGAAUUAACCGAACUAACCGAAUUAACCGAACUAACCGAAUUACCGAAAAAUACCCGAAUUACCCGAAUUUUUUUAUUUUUUAUUUUUAAAAUUUAAAAAAUUUAUAAAUUAUUAAAGUAAAUUGGGUUUUAGACUUUAGUAAAUUGGGUUGUCUUUUAAUUUUAGUUUUAUUGGAUUGAGUAAUUGGGUAAACUUUAGUUUUAGUUUUAUUGGGUUGGGUAAUUGGGUUGGGUAAUUGAGUUUGGGCUGGGUUGGAUAAUUUUAUUUAUUAAUUUUUUCGGUUAACCGAAAAUUUUCGAUUAACCGACCGAUUUCGAACCGAAUUAACCGUUAACCGAAAAAUCAUAAAAAAUUUAACCGACCCCCGACCGAAAAAAUUCGGUUAACCGACCGAUUAACCGAAUUCGAUCAGUUAACCAAAUUUUUUCGGUUUUACCCGAAUUAUGCACACCCCUACUAUUAUGAGCUUCAGCAAGAAUAUCAUUUUUCAAUUCUGAAUUAUUCGGAACAUAAAUUCUAUUACGAUAACACAACAUACCACCAUCAUCAAUGCUAUAUUCUGAACUCAAAUUAUCCUGAACCGUUUUUCGUUUCAGUACUAGUUUCGGAUCAUCACUUUAUAAUUCACGGAUCCUUUGAAGGAAUGUAGAUUUUGCUUUCAAUUCUGCUAAUACUGAACCAUCUUCAUUAACAAACAAAUGAACAUUCAUUUCUCGAAGUGCAAACAAUGAUGAUUUUCGGCUAAGUGCAUCAGCGACCACAUUUGCUUUCCCGGGGUGAUAAUCAAUACCAAGAUCAUAAUCUUUCAAUAGUUCGAGCCAUCGUCUCUGUCUCAAGUUCAGCUAUUUCUGUGUCAUCAAAUAUUUCAGACUUUUGUGAUCGGUAUACACAUAACAUUUUUCCCCAUAUAAAUAAUGUCUCCAGAUUUUUAAAGUAAACACAAUCGCGGCCAACUCCAAAUCAUGGAUAGGGUAAUUUUUUUCGUGUGGCUUUAAUUGCCGAGAAGCAUAUGCCACUACUUUCCCUGACUACAUUAAAACACAACCCAAACCAUUUAAAGAUGCAUCACUAUACACAACAUAUAGUAUACCUGAUUCUGGCUGAGUUAACACUGGAGCUUCUGUCAACAUCUUCUUCAACUGGUCAAAACUUUGUUGGCACUCUUUAGACCAUACGAAUUCAACAUUCUUCUAAAGUAAUCGAGUCAUCGGCAAGGCAAUCAUUGAAAGAAUUUUAACAAAUCGGCGGUAGUAUCCCGCUAAUCCCAGGAAACUCCGCACUUCUGUUACGUUCUUUGAAGUUUUCCAAUUCACCACUGCUGACACUUUACUUGGAUCUACUCGAAUUCCUUCAACUGAAACAAUAUGACCCAGAAAUCCAACCUCAUGUAGCCAAAAUUCACACUUGCUGAACUUUGCAUACAACUGCUUCUCUCUCAAAGUAUGUAACACACUUCUCAAGUGUUGUGCAUGAUCAGGCUCGGUCUUCGAAUAGAUCAGUAUAUCAUCAAUAAAUACAACCAUGAAUCUAUCCAAAUAAGGUUGAAAAAUGCAGCAGGAGCAUUAGUUAAACCAAAUGGCAUUACCAGAAACUCAUAAUGACCAUACCGAGUUCUGAAGGCAGUUUUUGCACGUCACAUUCUUUAACUUUCAGCUAAUAAUACCCAGAUCGAAGAUCUAUUUUUGAAAACACAACAGCACCUUUCAAUUGAUCGAACAAAUCAUCAAUGCGGGGCAAAGGAUAUUUGUUCUUGAUUGUAACCUUAUUUAACUGUCUGUAAUCUAUACACAAUCUCAACGAACCAUCUUUCUUUUUCACAAACAAAACAGGUGCACCCUAAGGAAAUGUACUCGGUCUAAUAAAUCCUUUAUCUAACAAUUCUUGCAACUAAGUCUUCAACUCUUUUAAUUUCAUCGGUGCCAUUCUGUAUGGUGUUAUGGAUAUUGGAGCUGUUCACAGGAUCACAUCAAUCACAAACUCAACUUCACGAUCUGGCAGUAAACCUGGCAAUUCCUCAGGAAAUACAUCAUCAAAUUCAUUAACAACUGGCAACUGUUUCAACUUUGAUUCAGAAUCCCGAGCAUCAAGAAUAUAAGCUAAAUAUGCUUCAUUACCCUUUUGUAUUAGCUUUUGAGCUGAAAAGGCUGAAAUAAUUCAGACAUUAUCUUUCUUAUUUCCAAACUCAGCCGAAAUCAUUUCUCCUGUCUGAUUUUUCAAAUCAAUCCGUUUCUCCCAACAGUUCACUACAGCGUCAUGUUUUGUUAACCAAUCCAUCCCUAGAAUAAUAUCAAAUUCCCGAAAGGGUAACAACAUCAAAUCAGCAGGGAAUUCACAGCCUUUCACUUUCAUUGGACAAUUACGACAUAUUAAAUUAACCAUCACACUUUGACCUAAUGGAUUAGUGACUUGUAUAUCAUAAUUAGUGGACUCAACAGAUAAUUUCUUUUCAGAUGCUAGCAUAGUGCAAAUAUAUGAAUGAGUAGACCCUGGGUGUAUUAAUGCAUAAACAGUAACACCAUAAAGAUAGAAAAUACCAGCAAUUACAUCAGGAGCCAUAGCCUCUUCCCUUGCUCGAAUGGCAUAGGUACGUGCUGGUGCUCUAUUCUCUGAUUGACUAAGUAGUUCUCUCAUAGCUGAACGGGUAGCCCCUGUAGCACUGCUCUGGCCCAAACUUCUACUUCUUUGGGGAGUGGUUCUCUGUAUCUCUUUCUGAUCCACUUCAUCUUUUUGCAACUAGGGACAAUCUCGAAUAAGAUGAUCAAUAACCCCACAUUUAUAACAAGCCCCCAUCUUAGUUCUGCAUUCACCGAAAUGAUGUCUUCCAUAAUAUUGACACUUAGGUCGAGAAGUAUUCUGAACACUGCUCACACUUACUACAGGUCUAUCAAAUACCCUGAAAUCAGAUUGUCUUGAUCACCUCUACCCAAUCUUCCCGGCACGGAUGUAGUUCGACUAAUUUCUUCUCUAAAUUUCUUCAACGGCAAAUCUAAAAAUGACUUAGAAGCACCUCUUUUAAAUGACUCUUUAUUUUUCCGAUCUCGCUGUAUUUUUUUGUUAUAUACUUCUUCGAGCUUUUGAGCACGGUCUGACAGAACAACGAACUCUCGUAUUUCAUUAACCCCAAUCAUCAUUCUAAUCUCAUCAUUUAACCCUUCUUCAAAUCUGAUACAUAUUUCUUCUUCAGUAGGUACAAUGUCUCGAAUACAUUUGCUGAGGUAGACAAAUUCUCUUUCGUAUUCAACCACUGACUUAUUUCCCUGCCAUAGAUCAAGAAAUUCUCUAUUUUUCUUGUCUAGAUAUCUUUUGCCCACAUAUUUCUUUUUAAACUCGUUCUGGAAAAAUUCCCAAGUAAGCUUCUCUGCAGGUACUACAGCUUCCACAGUUUCCCACCAGUUAUAUGCUUCUUCUUUUAACAAUGAGACAGCACAUCGUAGAUAAUCCUCUAGAGAACAAGCCAUCUGUUUAAAAAUUCUUACCAAACUCUGUAGCCAAUAUUCAGCUUUUACAGGGUCAUCAUCUGAUCUCCCUCGAAAUUCCUCAGCUCCAAACUUCCUAAGCUUUUCAAUCGAAGAACAUUUACUAGUUUCAAUUAUUGAAGGCGGUGGAGGAGCAAUCGGAGGUACCACAGGUGGUGCAGUAGAGGGAGGAGGUGGUUGAGCCUGACUUCUUUCUUGUACCAUCUCCUUUUACCACUAAUUCAUAACUCUAUAAAUCAUAUUUUUAAGUUCUCGCUCUCGCAUCAUAGAAAUUGGAAUAUCACUACUUGUUCCUUGUUCAGAAGUCUGCACUCUACUGUUAGCUUCCUCCUGUUCAGUGCAUUUAGGUCUAUCUGACAUCUUUAUAAUCGAAGAGUAUCUAUAAAAAUGACAGAUUAGAUCGGAUCAUACACAUUACAGUAUCACAGAUUUAUAUGACAUGUAUUUCUAAACACUUUACACAUAACACAUGUUCUGAGAAUCGGAUAAAUCAGGCUCUGAUACCACUAAAUGUAACACUCCUUACCCGUAUUCGUCGCCGGAAUAGGGUAGGAGGUAUUACCGGAGUUUACCGAAUUAAUUUUCUAUUAAUACGAAUUAAAUACUAUUCAUUUACUAAAAUAUGUCAUGGUGUCCUUUAGAUGGCCUCCUAAGCCCAAAACAUACUUCGGACCAAACCAGAAUUAAAUCGAAACAUAGGGAAUUUUUUGCAAAAUUCCAAAGUUUUUUUUUUUUUGCUCAAUAUAACCCCUUUAUAAAUAUCUAACCUUCCCUGCAAAUUUUAAAACCGAGAUCAAUCCAACCAACCAAUUCAUUUCAAUCAAUUUGAUACCAAAUUAUACUACUAUUAUAAUUAUACUAUUUAACAUAUUCAUCAUUCUUUACUUUAAUGUAUAUUCAUUAAACAAGUCUUAGUAUUUAUAUAAUCAUCAAACAUUAUACAUGCCAUAUAAAUCAAAAAAGAAAUUUACAAAAGCUACCGGUGAUAAUCUGGAUAGUGUGAUCCUCUGUAUUGAUCUGAUCCUCCGUAUUCUUCCACGUCAAUCUACAAGAGACAUUGAAUACAUUCAAGUAAGCUUAUAGAAGCUUAGUAAGUUCAUAGGCAUAAAACAUAAAUCUUACCAAAUAUUUAUACACUUAUACAAUAUACACAACUAUUAAGUUCACUUGUCAACCACAGUCAUUGGUGAGUUCCCUUGUAUAAACUUACUACCACUCAUCCAUUUCCUUUAAUUCUUUUUAGCCCGUUUGUCACAUAUCAUUCUUCAACCAAAUUAGGGAACGAUUACGAAAAAUUGAGUACUUCAUUUUCACUUUGCCAUAGUAUAACUAUGGUCUUGCGUAUGAUCACUUAUCACUUUUUGAAGUCAUAGUCCUGCCACGGUCUUACACUGAUCACAUUUAUCAGUUGUCACUGAUCAGAUAAGUGUAGCUAAAGCUACCACUUAUCACUUGUCAUUGAUCAGAUAAGUGUAGCUAAAGCUACCACUUAUCACUUGUCACUUAUCACUGAUCAGAUAAGUGUAGCUAAAGCUACCACUUAUCACUUGUCACUUAUCACUGAUCAGAUAAGUAUAGCUGGGGCUACCACUUAUCACUUGUCGCUGAUCAGAAGUACUCAAAUCCGACGUUCUGCUCAAUUUGAUCAUUUAUUUGAUUUUCGGGUUGUUAUCUUAUUCUCUAUUCAUCAAUAAAUAUAUUUCAUCGUACAUUAUAUAAUUCAUAAAAUUUACACAUAAUAAUUAAACUUCAACCAUAUGAACUUAC